rnacentral:pre_miRNA from 1 species
UCCAUACUCCAUCCGUCCUAAAAUUCUUGUCUUAAAUUUGUCUAAAUACGGAUGUAUCAAGUCACAUUUUAGUAUUAGAUACAUCCGUAUCUAGACAAAUAUAAGACAAGAAUUUUGGGACGGAGAGAGUACAAA